rnacentral:rRNA from 1 species
GAUGAACGCUGGCGGCGUGCCUAAUACAUGCAAGUCGAGCGAAAAGAUGAGGAGCUUGCUCCUCUGACGUUAGCGGCGGACGGGUGAGUAACACGUGGAUAACCUACCUAUAAGACUGGGAUAACUUCGGGAAACCGGAGCUAAUACCGGAUACUAUAUUGAACCGCAUGGUUCAAUAGUGAAAGACGGUUUUGCUGUCACUUAUAGAUGGAUCCGCGCCGCAUUAGCUAGUUGGUAAGGUAACAGCUUACCAAGGCAACGAUGCGUAGCUGACCUGAGAGGGUGAUCGGCCACACUGGAACUGAGACACGGCCCAGACUCCUACGGGAGGCAGCAGUAGGGAAUUUUGCGCAAUGGGCGAAAGCCUGACGGAGCAAUGCCGCGUGAAUGAUGAAGGUCUUCGGGUCGUAAAACUCUUUUAUUAGGGAAGAAAAAAUGUGUUUGAAACUAUGAACGUCUUGACGGUACCUAAACAGAAAGCCCCGGCUAACUACGUG